UUUUUCUAUCUAAUAAAAGGUUCACAAACCAUCUGUUUUUCUCCCUAAUGCCUUGCCCAAAGGUUUUUCGUUCCUAUUUCAGGCUUGGGGCCAACUGACAUUCCCCUCUUUUUUUUUCCCAGCCUUGUAAACAAACCCUUCUCUCUUUUUAAUCUUCCAGUGCUGUUUCCUACCCAUCGUUAUGCAUAUUCAUUGCGAGUAAACAUUUUUAGUGUCUACACUUAAUCUCUUCCACUGGCAAUUACUGUUCUAUGCUGUUUUGUAAUGCAGAAGGGCCAACGCUUUCCCUUCUAAUAACAGCUGGGUCGCAGAUGGGGCCUGCAGUCAUUGUAGAAAAUAAAAAUUUACAAGAUGCCAGUGGAAUUUAUUUCAGUUUUAUGGAGUCACAGGAGGAACCUUUCUGUUAUCCGCCUUCAGUGAAAUCUGCAGGCACAAGAAACAGCCAGAAGAGGGACCACGGAUUAAUUAGCAUACUCCGAGCUGACAUCACCGACGAUGUUGCCGAGGACGCUUAUAAAGCCAAGCACUGCUCUGGGCAUUUCAGCUCUGCUGUUAACCAAAGGGAAGGGCAAUGGCUCCUGACAAACGGAAAGCAGUGUCGGUGGCAGAGGGUGGCAGGCUUUGGGAAGGAGCUGAGGAAAAUGGAGCAUUCCCGAGCGCCGUGCUCCCGGCGGCUGCUGCGGCCCACGGGAUAUUGAGGAGCCGAGGUGGGCUGCGGGGCUCCGGCUCUGUCCAUGGCCUUGGGGUUUAUGGCACGGUCUGGGGCUUGCUCUCGACUCCUGUCCUGAGGACAGCUCCUGUGCUGAGCAUCGCUUGUGCUCGCAGCGAAGCUGCGUGCGGUGCUCGCAGCCGCCUGCUGCACCCUACUCAAUUGGCACCCUACUCACUUUGUCACCCCCAGUGGUGUCCGAUGCUCUUCAGGGGAUGGCUUUGACAUCUUCCCUGUGUCUUACGCCAGCUCCCAGGCCCUGCGAUUCCUCCUGUGGGUAUUUCGGGUCUCUUCAGAAAGGCAGGCUCCUGCCUGCAGCCAGGGCGCUGCUUUUGCCCAGAGGAGCUGUGGAUGCCCCAUCCCUGGAGGUGUUCAAGGCCAGGUUGGGCGAGGCCCUGGGCAACCUGAUCUGGUGGGUGGCAUCCCUGCCCAGGGCAGGGGUUGGAACUGGGUGGUCCUUUAGGUCCCUUCCAACCCAAGCUCUUCUAUGAUUCCGCGAUUUGUGCCGGGAUAACUUAAGAAAAUACCCAACAGGAUUAAUCUCCGCCAGAUGAUUGCAAUUUCUUGACGUGCUCCGGUGGGGUUUGCCACCCGCCACCUCUUUGCAUCUCCCCAGAAGCGAGGCAGCCCCCCUGGGUGUGCGCAGGCCACCAGGCCACCCUGCACGGCCGCAGCACGGCCCUCCGAUGGGCGCCCGGUGCCGCUGUUUUCAUUCAGCUUCAGGCUCCGCUUUGUGGAGGCUGCUUUCGGGCACCUUCGGGCCGUGCCAUACAGCCCUUCAGUAUCACGCAGUUGGCUCCUCUUCCCCUCUCACCGCCUGCAUCCCACUGGCUCUUCACCAGUGUGCUCCUUCCUUCCAGGUUUUAAGUCAAAGCAGUCAAAAAAAGGCAGGAGGGAGGCUGGGGGAAAGGACCCACAAGCGGUGGGUCACAGCAGCAAGCUGUGCAGGAUUUCUGGGGAUGCUUCGCUGCUACUGAGGGUCCAGGGCUAUGUGUUGAAGCAGAGACUGACAGGAGAGGAGACUUCUCAUUUUUAGCAGGAGAAAAAUCAGUGAAUUGUUAGUUGGGUACCAAAAUAAAUUAGUUUCCUGGGAUCUGAGACUGCA
rnacentral:lncRNA from 1 species